rnacentral:rRNA from 1 species
AUACGGAGGUUGCGAGCGUUAAUCGGAAUUACUGGGCGUAAAGCGCGCGUAGGCGGCUAGGUCAGUCGGAUGUGAAAGCCCCGGGCUCAACCUGGGAAUUGCAUUCGAAACUGCCUGGCUAGAGUAUGGGAGAGGGAAGCGGAAUUUCCGGUGUAGCGGUGAAAUGCGUAGAUAUCGGGAGGAACACCAGUGGCGAAGGCGGCUUCCUGGACCAAUACUGACGCUGAGGCGCGAAAGCGUGGGGAGCAAACAGGAUUAGAAACCCCAGUAGUCC